rnacentral:rRNA from 1 species
CCCCAGACUCCUACGGGAGGCAGCAGUGGGGAAUAUUGCACAAUGGGGGAAACCCUGAUGCAGCGACGCCGCGUGAGUGAAGAAGUAUUUCGGUAUGUAAGGCUCUAUCAGCAGGGAAGAAAAUGACGGUACCUGAUUAAGAAGCCCCGGCUAACUACGUGCCAGCAGCCGCGGUAAUACGUAGGGGGCAAGCGUUAUCCGGAUUUAUUGGGUUUAAAGGGUGCGUAGGCGGAAUGCCAAGUCAGCGGUAAAAGCGGGGGGCCCAACCCCGCUCCGCCGUUGAAACUGGCGUUCUUGAGUGGGCGAGAAGUAUGCGGAAUGCGUGGUGUAGCGGUGAAAUGCAUAGAUAUCACGCAGAACUCCGAUUGCGAAGGCAGCAUACCGGCGCCCAACUGACGCUGAAGCACGAAAGCGUGGGUAUCGAACAGGAUUAGAUACCCUGGUAC